CCUACGGGGUGCUGCAGUGAGGAAUAUUGGUCAAUGGACGAGAGUCUGAACCAGCCAAGUAGCGUGAAGGAUGACUGCCCUAUGGGUUGUAAACUUCUUUUAUAAAGGAAUAAAACGAGGCACGUGUGCCUUUUUGCAUGUACUUUAUGAAUAAGGAUCGGCUAACUCCGUGCCAGCAGCCGCGGUAAUACGGAGGAUCCGAGCGUUAUCCGGAUUUAUUGGGUUUAAAGGGAGCGUAGAUGGGUUGUUAAGUCAGUUGUGAAAGUUUGCGGCUCAACCGUAAAAUUGCAAUUGAUACUGGCAGUCGUGAGUACAGUUGAGGUAAGCGGAAUUCGUGGUGUAGCGGUGAAAUGCUUAGAUAUCACGAAGAACCCCGAUUGCGAAGGCAGCUUACUAAACUGUGACUGACAUUGAUGCUCGAAAGUGUGGGUAUCAAACAGGAUUAGAUACCCUGGUAGUC
rnacentral:rRNA from 1 species